rnacentral:rRNA from 1 species
UGAGGAAUAUUGCGCAAUGGGCGAAAGCCUGACGCAGCGACGCCGCGUGGAGGAUGAAGGUUUUCGGAUUGUAAACUCCUGUUAAGUGGGAAGAAACGACAAAAUAUAAUACAUUUUGUAACUGACGGUACCAUUAAAGAAAGCACCGGCUAACUUCGUGCCAGCAGCCGCGGUAAUACGAGGGGUGCAAGCGUUAUUCGGAAUUAUUGGGCGUAAAGGGUGCGUAGGCGGCGUAUUAAGUCAACUGUUAAAACCUCCAGCCUAACUGGAGAUCAGCAGUAGAUACUGGUAUGCUAGAGGAUGGAAGAGAGAAGUGGAAUUCUUGGAGUAGCGGUGGAAUGCGUAGAUCUCAAGAGGAACACCAAUGGCGAAGGCAGCUUCUUGGUCCAUAUCUGACGCUGAUGCACGAAAGCGUGGGGAGCAAACAGGAUUAGAUACCCUGGUAGUCCACGCCGUAAACGAUGAUCACUAGAUGUUAAUUCUGCUUGCAGAAUUAGUGUCGUAGCUAACGCGAUAAGUGAUCCGCCUGGGGGACUACGGUCGCAAGAUUAAAACUCAAAGGAAUUGACGGGGUCAUAGCUGUUUCCUG